GAUGAACGCUGGCGGCGUGUCUAAUACAUGCAAGUCGAGCGAACAGACGAGGAGCUUGCUCCUCUGACGUUAGCGGCGGACGGGUGAGUAACACGUGGAUAACCUACCUAUAUGACUGGGAUAACUUCGGGAAACCGGAGCUAAUACCGUAUAAUAUAUUGAACCGCAUGGUUCAAUAGUGAAAGACGGUUUUGCUGUCACUUAUAGAUGGAUCCGCGCCGCAUUAACUAGUUGGUAAGGUAACGGCUUACCAAGGCGACGAUGCGUAGCCGACCUGAGAGGGUGAUGGGCCACAGUGGAGCUGAGACACGGUACAGAGACUGAGGGGAGGCAGAGGUAGGGAAGGUACGGAAAAGGGGGAAAGCCUGACGGAGGGACGCAGGGGGAGUGAAGAAGGGCUGCGGAUCGUAAAACGCUGUUAGGAGGGAAGAACAAAUGUGUAAGUAACGAUGCACGUGUGAACGGGACCGAAACAGAAAGCCACGGCAAACAACGU
rnacentral:rRNA from 1 species